CACGGCCACAGGCGAGCAGCUCGGGGACAACGCUGGCUCCACAGGGCAGCUCCUGGGCCAGGCACCCGCUGGCGACUACACGGAGCUUGUCUUGUGGAAACAAACGCGCUUUCACAAACACAGCAGUCCUGCGACAUGAGGCGGGAUGAAACUUUGAAAGGAACAAACGUGGCGGCGUCCCCAGCCCUCUGCAGGAGCAGGGGCCGAGCAGGGGCCGGGUGCGUGGUCUGGGCACCCUAGGACACAACUCGGGGUAGGCUCCUUACUUGAAAGUGAUCUUCAGCAGCCUUGCCACCCACGUUAAGGACAUUCAGAGAGCUGGCACGCUUCAUGCUGCAACCCGGACACGGACAUGCAAGGACAAACGAUCAGCACAUCGGUCAACCAGCAACAGGAAGCACAAGCAAAGCCCCCUCCAACGCCUCUGUGACACUGGGGGCUCUAGGGACCUUGCCUUCAUCUUGCUUGGGUAACCGGGGAGUCCUAUGUCUCACUCUAUUUAGUGCCCAGGAGAAAAGACCACAGCUUCUCUGCAUCUUUCACAGCAAAAUGCUUCUUUUAAAGUACCAUAUGCAAACUCAAAAUGUCCUUAGACUUGCACUUUUAAAAAGUGGCUCAUCUAGACUGGGUAUAAUGGCUCAAGUCUGUAAUCCCAAUGCUUUGGAAGGCCAAGGCAGGAGGAUCACUUAAGCCCAGGAGUUCAAGACCAUCCCGGGUAACAUGGGGAAACCCCAUCUCUACAAAAACACAAAAAUUAGCCAGGCGUGGUGGCAUGCAUCUGUAGUCCCAGCUGCUCAGGAGGCAGAGGUGGAGGAUCACUUGAGCCCAGGAGGUCAAGGCUGCAGUGAGCCAUGACUGCACCACUGCACUGCAGCCUGGGAGACAGAGCAAGACCCUGUCUCUCUUUAAAACAAAACGAAACAAAAAAAAGACCAGCUGCAGUGGCUCACACCUGUAAUCUUUGGGAGGCUGAGGCGGGCAGACUGCCUGAGCUCAGGAGUUUGAGACCAGCCUGAGCAACACGGUGAAACCCCAUCUCUACUAAAAUACAAAAAAUUAGCUGGGCAUGGUGGCAUGUGCCUGUAAUUCCAGCUACUUGGGAGGCUGAGGCAGGAAAAUCAUUUGAACCCAGGAGACAGAGGUUGCAGUGAGCUGAGAUCACGCCACUGCACUCCAGCCUACGCAAGAGUGAGACUCUACCUACCAAAAAAAAAAAAAAAAAGCCAGGCGUGGUGGCUCAUGCUUGUAAUCCCAGCACUUUGGGAGACUGAGGCGGGUGGAUCACUUGAGGC
rnacentral:lncRNA from 1 species